AUUGAACGCUAGCGGGAUGCUUUACACAUGCAAGUCGGACGGCAGCGCGAGGUAAGCUUGCUUACCUUGGCGGCGAGUGGCGAACGGGUGAGUAAUGUAUCGGAACGUGCCCAGUAGCGG
rnacentral:rRNA from 1 species